GAAAAGCACUCUGAAGAGAGAGUCAAAAGACCGUGAAACCGCUCAGAGUAUAAGCCAAUGGAGCUUGGAAGGCUUCCGCAGGUGAUGUCCAUCAUACGUGGUGUUCUUAAGACCUUGAGUGUGGCUCGUCAGGCGUAGCAUUGAGUUUGCCAGGUUUAGCUGUCGUGCGGGGGGUUCGGCUGGGAGGACUUCGGCUUCGGCCGGAGGGCUCUUCUGGUCGUCCCCUUUUGAAUGGACGUUCAGAACCUCUUGUGUCUAAUGCGGUUAUGCCCACCACAGCACGUUGUGAGGUCACCCACAGGCUCAACUGCCGAUCGCGCAUCCAGGACGAUGGCAACGAUGCGUUGUUGAUGAUGGUGGCUCGAGAGAGACCACACACACACGCGUGUCUAGUCCUGGGUCGGGCGGCGACCGAGAUAAACCUGGUACGAUCCUCUAGCGACGAGCUGCUUUCUGGCCAGACCGACGCCCAGGCGCUUCCACUGUGCCGGAAGCGUCAACCCCAGGCGGUGUGAACCCAGCUGCAUUAUGCAAGGUCUCUCAGCCGGGCGUUGGUCUGAGUGGUGUUAAGUCCAGCACCAUCGGUCACGUCUCGAAACACGGGCCAAGGAGUAUAGCAUGUGUGCAAGUCUAAGGGUCUCACAAAACCCGAAGGCGAAGUGAAAGCAAGACUGUGGCGGGGGAGCUACGGCGAACCCGCCGGCCUAGUGUGACGCGUGCGUCGCCUGGCUUUAACAGAGCUGAUCCUGUUUUCUCGGUUAAUUCUUGGUGCAGGCGCAAGCUCCGGGCUCACGUACAACACUGGUCACACGCCUCGCGUGUGUGGCUGUGUUGUGAGCACCGUGGAGCAUGCAUGCUAUGACCCGAAAGAUAGUGAACUAUGCCUGGCGAGGGCGAAGCCCCAGGAAACUGGGGUGGAGGCCCGUAGCCGUUGUGACGUGCAAAUCCAUGGUAUCAGCUGGGCAUAGGGGCGAAAGACCAAUCGAACUAUCUAGUAGCU
rnacentral:rRNA from 1 species